GUUAUUUCCGUUAUUUCCGUUAUUUCUGCUAUUUCUGUUUUUUCCGUUGUUCUUCCUGGCCUGUCAUCUAAGUUUCAGAUGUAUGUUUCUGUCUCCCUGGACUUUGUUUCCGUUAUUAUUUCUGUUAUUUUGGUUAUUAAUUAAGUUAUUUCUGUAAUUAUUUUUGUUAUUUCCGUUGUUCUUCUUGGCCUCUCGUGUAAGUUCCAGAUGUAUGAUUCUUUCUCUCGGGAGUUUGUUUCCGUUAUUAUUUCCGUAAUUUCCAUUAUUAAUUUUGUUAUUUUUGUAAUUAUUUUUAUUAUUUCCGUUGUUCUUCUUGGCCUGUCGUCUAAGUUUCUGCUGUAUAUUUCUGUCUCUCUGGUGUUUGUUUCCGUUGUUUCCGUUGUUUCCUUGGUGUUCGUUAUUUCCGCUGUUCUUCUUGGCCUGUCAUCUAACUUUCUGCUGUAUGUUUCUGUAUAUCUGGAGGUUAUUUCCGUUAUUUCCAUUAUUUCCGUUAUUUCAGUUAUUUCCUUUAUUCUUCUUGGCCUGUCAUCUAAGUUUCUGCUGUAUGUUUCUGUAUAUCUGGAGGUUAUUUCCGUUAUUUCCAUUAUUUCCGUUAUUUCAGUUAUUUCCUUUAUUCUUCUUGGCCUGUCAUCUAAGUUUCUGCUGUAUAUUUCUGUCUCUCUGGAGGUUUUUUCCAUUAUUUUCGUUAUUUUGGUUAUUUCUGUAUUUUCGUUAUUUCCGUAAUUAUUUCCGUUAUUUCCGUUGUUCUUCUUGGCCUGUCAUCUAAGUUUCUGCUGUAAGUUUCUGUCUUGCUGGUGAUUAGUUCCUUUUGUUCCGUUAGAUCCGUUAUUUAUUUCCGUUAGUUCUGGAAUUUAUUUCCGUUAGUUCCGUUAUUUAUUUCCAUUACUUUCGUCUUUUAGUUCCCUUAUUUAGUUCCGUUAUUUAGUUCCAUUUUUUCCGUUGUUCUUGGACUGUCAUCUAAGUUUCUGAAGUAUGUUUCUUUCUCUCUGGAGUUUAUUUCCUUUCUUUCCCUUAUAAUUUCCCUUAUUAUUUCCCUUAUUAUUUCCCUUAUUUCCCGUAUUUUUUCCCUUAUUUCACUUAUUCUGUUAUUUCCCUCAUUUCCCUUUUUUCCGUUAUUUCCCUUAUUUCCGUUAUUUACCUUAUUUUCUUUAUUUCCCUUAUUUCUGUUGUUUCUGCUAUUUCUGUUUUUUCCAUUGUUCUUCUUGGCCUGUCAUCUAAGUUUCAGAUGUAUGUUUCUGUCUCUCUGGAGUUUGUUUCCGUUAUUAUUUCCAUUAUUAAUUCAGUAAUUUCCGUAAUUUACUUUAGUUAUUCCCGUUAUUUAUUUCCGUUUUUUCCAUUAUUUAUUUAUGUUAUUUCAGUUAUUUAUUUCCGUUAUUUCUGUAGUUCUUCUUGGCCUGUCAUCUCAGUUUCUGCAGUCUGUUUCUGUCUCUCUGGAGGUUAUUUCCGUUAUUUCCAUUAUUUCCGUUAUUUCUGUUAUUUCCGUUGUUCUUCUUGGCCUGUCAUCUAUUUUUCUGCAGUCUGUUUCUGUCUCUCUGGAGGUUAUUUCCGUUAUUUCCGUUAUUUCCUUCCGUUAUUUAGUUCAUUUAUUUCCGUUGUUCUUCUUGGCCUGUCAUCUAAGUUUCUGCAGUCUGUUUCUGUCUCUCUGGAGGUUAUUUACGUUAUUUCCGUUAUUUAUUUCCAUUAUUUCCGUUAUUUAUUUCCGUUAUUUCCGUUCUUUAUUUCCGUUAUUUCCGAUAUUUCUGUUAUUAUUUCCGUUAUUCUUCUUGGCCUUUUUCUAAGUUUCUGCGGUAUGUUUCUGUCUGUCUGGUGGUUAUUUCUGAUAUUUCCAUUAUUUCCAGUAUUUCUGUGAUUCUUCUUGGCCUGUCAUCUAAGUUUCUGCAUUUUGUUUCUGUCUCUCUGGUGGUUGUUUUUUUGUUUCCG
ensembl:lncRNA